rnacentral:rRNA from 1 species
UACAGAGGGUGCAAGCGUUAAUCGGAAUUACUGGGCGUAAAGCGUGCGUAGACGGUUAUUUAAGUCAGGUGUGAAAGCCCCGGGCUCAACCUGGGAAUUGCAUUUGAGACUGAAUAGCUAGGGUGCGGAAGAGGGAAGCGGAAUUUCCGGUGUAGCGGUGAAAUGCGCAGAUAUCAGGAGGAACACCAAUGGCGAAGGCAGCUCGCUGGGACGGUACUGACGCUGAGACGCGAAAGCGUGGGGAGCGAACAGG